CACUGUCACUCCUACGGGGAGGCAGCAGUGGGGGAAUAUUGCACAAUGGGCGCAAGCCUGAUGCAGCCAUGCCGCGUGUGUGAAGAAGGCCUUCGGGUUGUAAAGCACUUUCAGUCGUGAGGAAGGUGGUAGUGUUAAUAGCACUAUCAUUUGACGUUAGCGACAGAAGAAGCACCGGCUAACUCCGUGCCAGCAGCCGCGGUAAUACGGAGGGUGCGAGCGUUAAUCGGAAUUACUGGGCGUAAAGCGCAUGCAGGUGGUUUGUUAAGUCAGAUGUGAAAGACCCGGGGCUCAACCUCGGAAUAGCAUUUGAAACUGGCAAACUAGAGUACUGUAGAGGGGGGUAGGAAUUUCAGGUGUAGCGGUGAAAUGCGUAGAGAUCUGAAGGAAUACCGGUGGCGAAGGCGGCCCCCUGGACAGAUACUGACACUCAGAUGCGAAAGCGUGGGGAGCAAACAGGAUUAGAUACCCUGGUAG
rnacentral:rRNA from 1 species